rnacentral:rRNA from 1 species
AGAGUUUGAUCCUGGCUCAGGACGAACGCUGGCGGCGCGCCUAACACAUGCAAGUCGAACGAGCGAGAGAGAGCUUGCUUUCUCGAGCGAGUGGCGAACGGGUGAGUAACGCGUGAGGAACCUGCCUCAAAGAGGGGGACAACAGUUGGAAACGACUGCUAAUACCGCAUAAGCCCACGGUGCCGCAUGACACUGAGGGAAAAGGAUUUAUUCGCUUUAGGAUGGACUCGCGUCCAAUUAGCUAGUUGGUGAGGUAACGGCCCACCAAGGCGACGAUUGGUAGCCGGACUGAGAGGUUGAACGGCCACAUUGGGACUGAGACACGGCCCAGACUCCUACGGGAGGCAGCAGUGGGGGAUAUUGCACAAUGGGGGAAACCCUGAUGCAGCGACGCCGCGUGGAGGAAGAAGGUUUUCGGAUUGUAAACUCCUGUCGUUAGGGACGAUAAUGACGGUACCUAACAAGAAAGCACCGGCUAACUACGUGCCAGCAGCCGCGGUAAAGCGUAGGGUGCAAGCGUUGUCCGGAAUUACUGGGUGUAAAGGGAGCGCAGGCGGGAAGACAAGUUGGAAGUGAAAACCAUGGGCUCAACCCAUGAAUUGCUUUCAAAACUGUUUUUCUUGAGUAGUGCAGAGGUAGAUGGAAUUCCCGGUGUAGCGGUGGAAUGCGUAGAUAUCGGGAGGAACACCAGUGGCGAAGGCGGUCUACUGGGCACCAACUGACGCUGAGGCUCGAAAGCAUGGGUAGCAAACAGGAUUAGAUACCCUGGUAGUCCAUGCCGUAAACGAUGAUUACUAGGUGUUGGGGGAUUGACCCCCUCAGUGCCGCAGUUAACACAAUAAGUAAUCCACCUGGGGAGUACGACCGCAAGGUUGAAACUCAAAGGAAUUGACGGGGGCCCGCACAAGCAGUGGAGUAUGUGGUUUAAUUCGAAGCAACGCGAAGAACCUUACCAGGUCUUGACAUCCGAUGCAUAGCACAGAGAUGUGUGAAAUCCUUCGGGACAUCGAGACAGGUGGUGCAUGGUUGUCGUCAGCUCGUGUCGUGAGAUGUUGGGUUAAGUCCCGCAACGAGCGCAACCCUUAUUGCCAGUUACUACGUUAAGAGGACUCUGGCGAGACUGCCGUUGACAAAACGGAGGAAGGUGGGGAUGACGUCAAAUCAUCAUGCCCUUUAUGACCUGGGCUACACACGUACUACAAUGGCGUUAAACAAAGAGAAGCAAGACCGCGAGGUGGAGCAAAACUCAAAAACAACGUCUCAGUUCAGAUUGCAGGCUGCAACUCGCCUGCAUGAAGUCGGAAUUGCUAGUAAUCGCGGAUCAGCAUGCCGCGGUGAAUACGUUCCCGGGCCUUGCACUCACCGCCCGUCA